rnacentral:rRNA from 1 species
AAUAAGGAUCGGCUAACUCCGUGCCAGCAGCCGCGGUAAUACGGAGGAUCCGAGCGUUAUCCGGAUUUAUUGGGUUUAAAGGGAGCGUAGAUGGAUGUUUAAGUCAGUUGUGAAAGUUUGCGGCUCAACCGUAAAAUUGCAGUUGAUACUGGAUAUCUUGAGUGCAGUUGAGGCAGGCGGAAUUCGUGGUGUAGCGGUGAAAUGCUUAGAUAUCACGAAGAACCCCGAUUGCGAAGGCAGCUUGCUAAACUGUAACUGACGUUCAUGCUCGAAAGUGUGGGUAUCAAACAGGAUUAGAUACCCUGGUAGUCCACACGGUAAACGAUGAAUACUCGCUGUUUGCGAUAUACUGCAAGCGGCCAAGCGAAAGCGUUAAGUAUUCCACCUGGGGAGUACGCCGGCAACGGUGAAACUCAAAGGAAUUGACGGGGGCCCGCACAAGCGGAGGAACAUGUGGUUUAAUUCGAUGAUACGCGAGGAACCUUACCCGGGCUUAAAUUGCAGACGAAUUACGAGGAAACUUGUAAGCCGCAAGGCGUCUGUGAAGGUGCUGCAUGGUUGUCGUCAGCUCGUGCCGUGAGGUGUCGGCUUAAGUGCCAUAACGAGCGCAACCCUUGUUGUCAGUUACUAACAGGUUAUGCUGAGGACUCUGACAAGACUGCCAUCGUAAGAUGUGAGGAAGGUGGGGAUGACGUCAAAUCAGCACGGCCCUUACGUCCGGGGCUACACACGUGUUACAAUGGGAGGUACAGAAGGCAGCUACCCGGCGACGGGAUGCCAAUCCCCAAAACCUCUCUCAGUUCGGACUGGAGUCUGCAACCCGACUCCACGAAGCUGGAUUCGCUAGUAAUCGCGCAUCAGCCACGGCGCGGUGAAUACGUUCCCGGGCCUUGUACACACCGCCCGUCAAGCCAUGAAAGCCGGGGGUACCUGAAGUGCGUAACCGCAAGGAGCGCCCUAGGGUAAAACCGGUAAUUGGGGCUAAGUCGUAACAAGGUAGCCGUACCGGAAGGUGCGGCUG